rnacentral:rRNA from 1 species
GACGAACCGUGCGAACGUUAUUCGGAAUCACUGGGCUUAAAGCGCGUGUAGGCGGAUGGGCGCGUCGGCCGCUGAAAUCCCCCGGCUCAACCGGGGAAGUGGCGCCGAAACGGCCCGUCUGGAGGGGGGUAGGGGGCGCUGGAACUCACGGUGGAGCGGUGAAAUGCGUUGAGAUCGUGAGGAACGCCCGCGGCGAAAGCGAGCGCCUGGACCCUUUCUGACGCUGAGACGCGAAAGCCAGGGGAGCGAACGGG